ACGUACGCUGCGGCACGCCUAACACAUGCAAGUCGAACGAAGUAGCAAUACUUAGUGGCAGACGGGUGAGUAACAUGUAGGUAUCUGCCCUUUGGCCUGGAAUAACACGGGAAAACUUGUGCUAAUACCGGAUAAGUCUUUACGGAGAAAGCUUUAUGCACCAUUGGAUGAGCCUGCACUUGAUUAGUUUGUUGGUGGGGUAAUGGCCUACCAAGACUGUGAUCAAUAGCUGAUUUGAGAGGAUGAUCAGCCACAUUGGGACUGAGACACGGCCCAAACUCCUACGGGAGGCAGCAGUGGGGAAUCUUGCACAAUGGAGGAAACUCUGAUGCAGCGAUGCCGCGUGAGUGAAGAAGGCCCUUGGGUUGUAAAGCUCUUUCGUCGGGGAAGAAAAUGACUGUACCCGAAUAAGAAGGUCCGGCUAACUUCGUGCCAGCAGCCGCGGUAAUACGAAGGGACCUAGCGUAGUUCGGAAUUACUGGGCUUAAAGAGUUCGUAGGUGGUUGAAAAAGUUAGUGGUGAAAUCCCAGAGCUUAACUCUGGAACUGCCAUUAAAACUUUUCAGCUAGAGUAUGAUAGAGGAAAGCAGAAUUUCUAGUGUAGAGGUGAAAUUCGUAGAUAUUAGAAAGAAUACCAAUUGCGAAGGCAGCUUUCUGGAUCAUUACUGA
rnacentral:rRNA from 1 species